GCUGGACCUGUAGCUCAGUGGGACAGCUCUUGCCUGGCAUGCGCUAGGGCCUGGGUUCAACCCCCAGCCCCGCA
rnacentral:tRNA from 1 species